UACGAAGGGGGCUAGCGUUGUUCGGAAUCACUGGGCGUAAAGCGCACGUAGGCGGAUCGUUAAGUCGGGGGUGAAAUCCCAGGGCUCAACCCUGGAACUGCCUUCGAUACUGGCGAUCUUCGAGUCCGGGAGAGGUGAGUGGAACUCCGAGUGUAGAGGUGAAAUUCGUAGAUAUUCGGAAGAACACCAGUGGCGAAGGCGGCUCACUGGCCCGGUACUGACGCUGAGGUGCGAAAGCGUGGGGAGCAAA
rnacentral:rRNA from 1 species